UCCCUGGUGGCUCAGAGGUUAAAGCAUCUGCCUCAAAUGCUGGAGACCUGGGUUCAAUCCCUGGGUCGGGAA
rnacentral:tRNA from 1 species